AUUGAACGCUGGCGGCAGGCCUAACACAUGCAAGUCGAGCGCGCGGCUGACGGGUGAGUAAUGUCUGGGAAACUGCCUGAUGGAGGGGGAUAACUACUGGAAACGGUAGCUAAUAACGCAUACCAUCAGAUGUGCCCAGAUUGGAUUGGAUAGUGGGUGGGGUAACGGCUCACCUAGGCGACGAUCCCGAGCUGGGUUGAGAGAAUGACCAGCCACACUGGAACUGAGACACGGUCCAGACUCCUACGGGAGGCAGCAGUGGGGAAUAUUCCACAAUGGGCGAAAGCCUGAUGGAGCCAGGCCGCGUGAGUGAAGAAGGCUUUCGGGUUGUAAAGCACUUUUGGUGGGGAAGCGUUACCCGAAGAAGAAGCACCGGCUAACUACGUGCCAGCAGCCGCGGUAAUUC
rnacentral:rRNA from 1 species